CUUUUACUGGAGUUCACUUCUCUCCUUCAUCCCUGUGGCAGUACUGACUUGGCCAGAAUUAUACAAAAUGAAUUUCUUUAUUGCAAGAAAUCAUGAUUAUUUAUUGAACUGGAAAGCAGGCAGGCCGAUGCUCCAUUGAAUGCUGUGAACAACAUGUUGACAGAAAAAAGGAAUGUGCAAUGGAGAUUGUUAAUAUGGAAAUAUCCUAAGAUACGGCAUGCCAUUUGAGAAAAUAAAUGAAAUAUACUUUGGUAUGGAAGAUAAUUA
rnacentral:lncRNA from 1 species